GGUGAGAUGGCUCAGUGGUUAAGAGCACUGGCUCUUCCAGAGGUCCUGAGUUCAAUUCCCAACAACAUGG
rnacentral:tRNA from 1 species